rnacentral:rRNA from 1 species
CUGACCUACGGGAGGCAGCAGUGGGGGAUAUUGCACAAUGGGGGAAACCCUGAUGCAGCGACGCCGCGUGGGUGAAGAAGCGCCUCGGCGCGUAAAGCCCUGUCAGCAGGGAAGAAAAUGACGGUACCUGACUAAGAAGCCCCGGCUAACUACGUGCCAGCAGCCGCGGUAAUACGUAGGGGGCAAGCGUUAUCCGGAUUUACUGGGUGUAAAGGGAGCGUAGACGGCAGCGCAAGUCUGGAGUGAAAUGCCGGGGCUCAACCCCGGAACUGCUUUGGAAACUGUGCAGCUAGAGUGCGGGAGAG